UUGUGUGUGCUGCGCAUGGUACGGACAGUGAUCCUUGGUAAGCCAGGCUCUGCUGCAGGCAGAGAACCAGCCAGAACAGCCCUGUCCUGAUGCAUGGUGCAGCCAGGGGAGAAGGGAACGGGACAAAACUGCUCGUCUUUCCUAGACCUUACAUUUCCUUUGAAGGAGGAAAUCUCUGCUGUACCCAUGGAAUGAGAAGGACUUGGAUGCAGCACUAAGACUUCUCUCUUCAUCCCUCAUGAGCAGGUCCUGUGUUAUGUGGAAGCCUGCAGCGGUCGGGUCUGGAUGAAGAAAAUACCUCAGAAAACCCAAGAGGAAUACUUGCUUUGAAAGUUACUCUCAUGAGAUUAUUUUAUCUUUCUAAUAAAAAAAUUGAUUUAAAAAUAAAAUAAUGAUAAAUCAUGCUGGGGAAACCAAUUCCAAUAUGAUAAAACUCCUACAGUGUGAGGCAAGAACCACUCAAUCAACUGCAAGGAGAAAGGCAUGUUAUUUAAUCAAACACAGGGUUAGAGAACAGCAUCAAAUAUGCAUUUUUGGUAUUUGUUUCCAUUUUUUCUAGUAGAUUUCUGACUGGAUUUCUUUGGUUAUUGCAUAGACUUGAGUUACAUCUUGUGCAUCUUGUGAAAGAAGAUAGAUAUCCUAAUAGAGCUUUCGAAUAUAGUUAAAAUUACUUCAGCAAGGCUACAGUAGGUCAGUGGCAGAGCUAGGAAAAGAAGUUAGGCAAUGUUUUGCCCAGUUCUGUAUAUUUUAAUUAGCAAACUGGCCUCCCUCCCUGAAUUACAAUGGCAUUGUGAUACCUAAAUGUUCAGAAGUCUAAGCUUUAUAUACUAACCCUAACACAGAGAAUUUCUUGAACAGACUUUAAGAAAUAUAUUGCUAUAGCUUCUUUACCAGUUGUGCCCUAACCUGCUUUUUGCAUGGUAUUCAAGGAUAAUUUUGACAACAGAAUUAUCUUUAGGGAAUAUAAAAUACCAGGGAUUAAAAGGGACAGAUUUAGACAGAGCAGGAAUUUGCCAGCAGGACGAUGUUCUAAAACAACUUCUGAAAAAUUAACACAUUAUGGAAAUAAGUUAAUUUUUUUAACAUUGUGCUCUUUUAUUUUUCUUUUAGAAAAGAAAAUGAAGCCUUCCAUUAUAGGACUAUUUAGUUUUGAGUAAAUUGUGUGUUUCCCUUUUGUGGUGUAUUUCUCUAGUGAAUUUAUUUUUUGCAUGCCUAUUGCUCCCAGUUUCUGCUGGUCUGAGCUUGCUUGCCAGCUGGUAUUUGCCACUAAGACUCAGAAUCAUGAGGUUUUCUUUGAGAAGCUUGGUACAUUAUGGCAGCCAUUGUCCCACAGAAGAGGAUGAAGGAUGCAGACAGUUACUCCUGUGGGUCUCAUGAGAAAUGCAAUAGUGAAAGAGCCCAGCAAAUUGAAACAAUAUUUUUCAAUUCAUGAAUACUAAAAAUUCGAAUGUCUUCCCAAAAUAAACCCAAAGUUUUAUUUCUUAUUCUUUAAAAAAUUCUUUAAAAAAAAUUCUUUAAAAAAAUCCCAACAAAACAGCUGAUAUUUACUUAAUCAUCCCAAGUUAGGAAAAAAAUGUUGAAUAAAAAUGUUUUUUAUAAGAUUACAUUUCCAUAUUUUUUUCAGCUCUAAUUAUGAUAAGGUUGUACAAGGAUUAAUUUUAUUCUUUCUUUGUCUCAUCCUUUUUCCAUCCUAGACAAUGAAAAUAGUUUAAUCUAGCAGUUUUUACAUUGUGGUCUGUGCACCAGAGCUGGCUUGUAAAACUUUUUCUUUCAGUGGUUUUAUUGUUCAAGAACUGAUGCUUCCUGUUACUUCUGGCCAUGCAUUUUGGUUUUGUGAAUGAGUAUUCUUAGAUAAAAGAAUAAUACUAAUCAAGUAUAUACCUUUUGUACAGCUUUAUGUUAUCAUUAAAUAAAAAUGAUACCAGAACUGCAGAGGUAACAACUCUUCUGAAAGGCUGAGUCAACACGAAAAAGAACAGUUAGCAGUGAAUAAGAGAAAUAUGGGAUACCUUCACUUCAGAUAUUCAGUAAGGAAGAGGAAACA